rfam:Paenibacillus sp. Soil750 contig_5, whole genome shotgun sequence.
CUGUGCUAGACGGGGAGGUAGCGGUGCCCUGUAACUCGCAAUCCGCUGUAGCGAGGUUGAAUUCCUGUUAGAGGUACUGUGAUGUGAGGUCUGGCUCUUACACGUGGUGUUGAGAGUUGGGUCCUUCGCAAUGGAUGCUCAUGAACCCGGUCAGGUCUGGAAGGAAGCAGCCGUAAGUGAGAUGUUUCAUGUGCCGAGGGGCUGCCUGAUUUGAGCCAACGAUAAGAGUUCGCUUGUAUCACUUUAUCAAUAACAGGUGCACGG